rnacentral:rRNA from 1 species
UACGUAGGGUCCAAGCGUUGUCCGGAUUUAUUGGGCGUAAAGAGCUCGUAGGCGGCUUAGUAAGUCGGAUGUGAAAACUCGGGGCUCAACCCCGAGACGCCAUCCGAUACUGCUGUGGCUUGAGUCUGGUAGGGGAACACGGAAUUCCUGGUGUAGCAGUGAAAUGCGCAGAUAUCGUAAGGAAGACCAGUGGCGAAGGCGGCUCACUGGCCCGUAACUGACGCUCAUGUACGAAAGCGUGGGGAGCAAACAGG